UAAUAAUUGUAUAUUUUCACAAAAUCGGACCAUGCGCAUGUAUUAUCGCCAUCGGAUCUCAAAAAAAAUAACACUAUCAUGUAGGUACUAUUAAUGUAACUUAAAGUUUAUUUAAUAUUUUAUAUUUUUAAAAUAAUUUUUUUUCUCGUAAUGUAUACAAAUAAUUGAUGGUUAGAAAAUUGAAGCAAGGGCCGCAUUAAAAUCUACCGUGAGCCUUGGGUUGGACACCCCCAGUCUAUAAUUACAAUUUUUGAAUAUUAUUUAUUAUCAUUAACUCAGUUACAUCUUUGAUUCAACCUGGCUGUUGUAUACAUUAUAAUAAGAAAAACUAUAUGAAUUUAAUCAUUUAUUUAGUAUAUGGUCAAAUUUUAGAAUCAAUACAUGAGCCCUAAAAAGGCUUAAUAUAUUAAUAUAUUAUAAUCAGGGUUCAGAAAUUAUAGAAUUUAAGUAACAAAAAAACUUUUCAGUAAAUUUUAUUAUAAGCAUUUAAAAAGAUUAAUAACCCCUUCAAAUGCUAAAAUAAACAAAUUUUUUUUCUCAAUUAACCGACAACAGUAGAUAUCAGUUUUUUACAUUGCUAUCUCACUGCUGACAAAAGUAAAUACUUAAACAUAUUUAAUUAGCAAAAAAAAUACUAUCCAAAAGAGAAAAAAAAAAUUUUAAUUUUACCACUUGAAUAUGUUGCAUGACUUACAUUUUAAUAGCACUGUACAAGUUAUAUUACCAAGCCAAAAAACAAAUAAAGGUCCAAUUUCCAACCCCGGAUUAUAAUUUAUGUAUUAUAUUAUGACCUAUCUUAAAACAAAGUUAAAUAUUGAGAUAAAAACCAAAACAAACUAUUAAUUCUCUAAAAUUGUCAUAUACUCAUA